rnacentral:lncRNA from 1 species
GCAGAGGAAGGAGCGCGAGCGGGGCGCGGCCAGCAGCGGGAAGGCCAGCAGGCCCAGCAGGUAGAGGGCCAGGCUGAGCAGGAUGGCGCGGGCCCGGCCGAGGCGGGCGUCGGCGAGCCAGCCCCCGAACGGCGAGCCCAGAUAGGUGAGGCCCAUGAAGAGCAGCAGCGCCUGGCUGGCCUGCGCGCCCUCCCAGUCGAACGGCGCGCCAUUCAGGAACAGCACCAGGUUGGCCGUGACGCCGUAGAAGGCCGCGCGCUCCAGCAGCUCGGCCAACAGCACCGCCCCGCACGCCGCACGCCGCCCCGCGAACACCGCGGACGCCGCCGACACUGCCGGACGCCGCGAACCCAACAGCGGCGCCCGCUCGCCCUCCAUGGCCGGUUCACUGAGGACUCGGUAGCCCAACUCUCGCGAGACAGCGAGUUCCCUCCCUCUCCCGCCGCCGCCUUUUAACUGGGCAAGCUGGGCGGGGGUGGCUGCCGGUUCCGCCCCCGGAAAUCCGGCCAAGCGGGCCUUUCACUUGACAGCGGUUUGUUGUUGAGAUGCGUGGAGGGAUGGUGGUUCCUAUGGCUGGAGGGGUUCCACCGGGAAACUGGAACCCUAGACUCCGAGGUUCCGGCCCCAAACUGGGUUCCUAAUCCAGGUCACCAGGGUCUAAAUCUUCCCUUCUUGCCAUCUUCUCAGGACCCAGGCGUCAAGUGUAACAGUCUCGGCCUCCUCUCCCUCUCUUGGUAUCUCACUUUUCUGUCUCUUCUUAAAACAAAAAUUACU